GACGGAGGAUGCAAGCGUUAUCCGGAAUGAUUGGGCGUAAAGCGUCCGCAGGUGGCAAUGCAAGUCUGCUGUUAAAGCGCAGGGCUUAACCCUGUAAAGGCAGUGGAAACUGAAUAGCUAGAGUAUGGUAGGGGUAGAGGGAAUUCCCAGUGUAGCGGUGAAAUGCGUAGAUAUUGGGAAGAACAUCGGUGGCGAAGGCGCUCUACUGGACCAUAACUGACACUCACAGGACGAAAGCUAGGGGAGCGAAUGGG
rnacentral:rRNA from 1 species